GAUGAACGCUGGCGGCGUGCCUAAUACAUGCAAGUCGAGCGAACGGACGAGAAGCUUGCUUCUCUGAUGUUAGCGGCGGACGGGUGAGUAACACGUGGAUAACCUACCUAUAAGACUGGGAUAACUUCGGGAAACCGGAGCUAAUACCGGAUAAUAUUUUGAACCGCAUGGUUCAAAAGUGAAAGACGGUCUUGCUGUCACUUAUAGAUGGAUCCGCGCUGCAUUAGCUAGUUGGUAAGGUAACGGCUUACCAAGGCAACGAUGCAUAGCCGACCUGAGAGGGUGAUCGGCCACACUGGAACUGAGACACGGUCCAGACUCCUACGGGAGGCAGCAGUAGGGAAUCUUCCGCAAUGGGCGAAAGCCUGACGGAGCAACGCCGCGUGAGUGAUGAAGGUCUUCGGAUCGUAAAACUCUGUUAUUAGGGAAGAACAUAUGUGUAAGUAACUGUGCACAUCUUGACGGUACCUAAUCAGAAAGCCACGGCUAACUACGUGCCAGCAGCCGCGGUAAUACGUAGGUGGCAAGCGUUAUCCGGAAUUAUUGGGCGUAAAGCGCGCGUAGGCGGUUUUUUAAGUCUGAUGUGAAAGCCCACGGCUCAACCGUGGAGGGUCAUUGGAAACUGGAAAACUUGAGUGCAGAAGAGGAAAGUGGAAUUCCAUGUGUAGCGGUGAAAUGCGCAGAGAUAUGGAGGAACACCAGUGGCGAAGGCGACUUUCUGGUCUGUAACUGACGCUGAUGUGCGAAAGCGUGGGGAUCAAACAGGAUUAGAUACCCUGGUAGUCCACGCCGUAAACGAUGAGUGCUAAGUGUUAGGGGGUUUCCGCCCCUUAGUGCUGCAGCUAACGCAUUAAGCACUCCGCCUGGGGAGUACGACCGCAAGGUUGAAACUCAAAGGAAUUGACGGGGACCCGCACAAGCGGUGGAGCAUGUGGUUUAAUUCGAAGCAACGCGAAGAACCUUACCAAAUCUUGACAUCCUUUGACAACUCUAGAGAUAGAGCCUUCCCCUUCGGGGGACAAAGUGACAGGUGGUGCAUGGUUGUCGUCAGCUCGUGUCGUGAGAUGUUGGGUUAAGUCCCGCAACGAGCGCAACCCUUAAGCUUAGUUGCCAUCAUUAAGUUGGGCACUCUAAGUUGACUGCCGGUGACAAACCGGAGGAAGGUGGGGAUGACGUCAAAUCAUCAUGCCCCUUAUGAUUUGGGCUACACACGUGCUACAAUGGACAAUACAAAGGGCAGCGAAACCGCGAGGUCAAGCAAAUCCCAUAAAGUUGUUCUCAGUUCGGAUUGUAGUCUGCAACUCGACUAUAUGAAGCUGGAAUCGCUAGUAAUCGUAGAUCAGCAUGCUGCGGUGAAUACGUUCCCGGGUCU
rnacentral:rRNA from 1 species